ensembl:lncRNA
CUCUCAGAGUCCUUCACCAGCUGGGGCAGGAGUAGAUGAAGCAAAAGUUGACCUCCAGGGCUUGAUGCUGCCUCCACCUCCAGCCAUGCUUGUCUCAACUACCAAAGGGGACAUCAUUCUGCUGGUGUCACCUGUGGUACCUCCACGUGCCUAUGGGGCUGUGCUUUCCACCUGUGCCCGCCGGGGCUUUGUGCUGCAAGGACUGCGGCAGCUGCAGCUCUCAGCACAGCAAGGCCUUGUGCUUGGCAUGACAGCAGGGCAGAUUGCUGUCUUUUGCCCUGGCAAGAGUUCAAGCUCACCUGAUGGUCCUGCAGGAGGAGAAAUCCCUGCUGGAGCCCGCAGGCGCUGCCUGGUGCUGCUGCUGAGGAAGGAGAACGCCAGGCAUCACAUCCCUGCCUUGGUGACAGGGCUGAUGGAUGAGCUGGCAGAGGCAGGCCUUGGCAUCGGGCACAGCAUCCCCCCUGCAGCUGCUGGAGCAGCCCCAUCCCUCUGCUUCCACGGGGCUCCGUACGCCGCGGCCACGCUGCACAGCCUGGGAGGAAACCUCAGCGCGGUGCCAGAGCCCCAUCACAUCCCUCUGGAUUUUCUGUGCCACCGAGUUUACGCUGCUGAGCCCGGGAUGGAGCAAGUGGUGAUGCUGACAGUGGUGGGGAUGCAGGCUCUGAAGAGUGCUGGAGAGCUCCUCCAGCAGAUCCUGCAGAUCCCUGGCCUCAGGGAUCAGUCUUGGAGUGCAGCAGAGCCUGAUUCAGGAUUUGAGCUCCUAGGCCUGAAGUGGCUGCCCCACCUCACUCGGUGUCAGGCCAGGGAAAUAACCCCUUUUGAGGCUGGGGACACUCAGUGGCAGAGCAGCCUGGACACGCUGAUGUCCAAGCCCGUCCUGCUGUGCGCGCUCCGCGGCGUCGACGCCUUCCCAGCCCUGGGAGCUGCCCUGGAGGGAUGGACACAGGGCAGGGACAGGCUCAGCACGGGUGACAGCCUCCCACAGGCAAUAAUGGCCUUGACCCCAGAGGUCACCUUCAGACAAGCCAUCCUCUUCUUCACAGAGGCAGAUCUGGUACCUGAUCCAGAACACCGCCCUGCUAUGAAAUACCUUCCACCCCCUGGCAGGAGCUCCAGGACUGAAGGGAAGACCACAGGGGCACAGGUUCUGUGCACGCUGCUGCUCAUCAAACCCGGUGUCUGGAGCCGCGGGUUGCCGAGGAUCCUCCGGAAUUUACACCUGGAAAAAUUCAGCGUGGUCGGAAUGAAACACCUGGACCUGGAUGCGGCCGCUGCCUCGGCGCUCCUGCCCUGGGAGCUGCAGCAGGAUCCAGCUGCUGUAGAAGCUCACUGUACCUACCUCACCUCGGGCACUGCCCUCGUGCUGUGCCUGCAGAGGCCCAAUGCUGUGAAGAAGCUGAUGGAUCUCCUGGGACCAGAGGAUCCUCAGCUGGCUCAAGCACUGGAUCCACGCCUCUGGAGGGCUCAGUAUGGCACCAGCACGGUCCAGAAUGGAUUUUAUGGCUCCAGAUCCUAUCCAAUGGCUGUCCGGGAUGUGAAGCUGUUUUUCCCAGAAGGGCUGUGCUGUGCCCAGUGUCAGACAGGGCAGGAACAGGAGAUCCAUAACCUGAAACAUGACCCCAUCCUCAGCCUGGGAGUCAGGAAACAGCGCAAGAUCCUCACCCGUGACCCGGGGAGACAUCCCAGUGUCCUGGGCUCUGAGCAGCCAGGCAGUCCUGAUCAGGCAUUGCUGGAGAAGCUCUGCCAAAGCACCUGCCUGGUGCUGCCCGGGAUAAUCCUGCAGGGUUCGGAGCCCCCCCCGUACGUGGAGCUGCUGGAGGAGCUCGUGGGCAGCGGCUUUGUGGUGACCGGAGCUCGCCUGGCUGUGCUGGACUCACCUCAGGCUCUCUGCAUCUCCCAGAUGCUCAGCAGGGCCAAGGGCAGUGUUGCAGCAAAGUGCUCCCUGUUGAAGGAUGGGUUGUGCCUGGUGCUGGCAGCACAGUGGGACAGCGCUGUCACCUCGCUGGGCUCUCUGCUGGACAGUGCCUGCUGGCAGAACCACUCAGCCCUGGACACUGCAGAGCAUCUCCUUUAUCCCCAAAAUGAGAAUCAGGCCCGGGAGCUGCUCUGCUGCCUUUUUGACUCCCUGACAUCAGAGAGCAUCCACCAAAUUGAAUGCCAGGAUUGCUAGCAGAGAUGGGCAGUCCCCCAGGCAGUCCCUGGAUCUCUGUGGAGAUGGACACACAGCACAACCAGCUCUGAGAGCACUUUUGUUUGGAAUUAAAACACAGAGUCUCAAGUGUGGCAUUAGCAUGGGUCAGAGAAAUGAGAGUGGUGGAGGAAGGCUCAGCACCCCAAAACAAACCCCUCUGAAGUGUGGCUGUGCUUCCCACUGGAGUCCAUCCAGAGACAACCUGCUUGUGUCCAUCAGCAAGGCUUGGAGCACUCCUCUGCCUGGGAAAACCUGGGGAAGCAAAUACUGGGGCAGGUGUUCACUGCUGUGUCUCUCAAGUGCCUGGGGACUCCACCUCCCCCAGGUCUCAAAGACUUCAUGGAGAGACUCCUCUUGCUGCUGCUCCUGUGAUCUUUGAACCAAGGACAAACCCACAGCAAAUGAAGUGGAAAUAGUCAGAGGGAGAGCUGGAUCCCUGGAGGUUCAGCACACCAGGACGAGCUGUUCAAUAAGAUUAAAAGCUGGACAGCUCAGUGUUCACCUGCCUGUGCUCCAGCAGCCCUGUCAGGGGUGUGCCAGCCCACAUCCUGCUCCCUGCACACAGCCCUGCCUCCUCUUCCUCCUCCUCCAGCAGCUGCUGAUCCUCUCAUCCUUCCUAGGAGCCCGGGGGAGAGGGAAGCUGGUGUUAAUAGAAAGGCCCUCAGCAUUCCUGGGACCCACUGGGGUUUUUUCCUCCUUUUCUUUAGGAAAGACUCUUCUCUGAGCACAGGAGCCUCCAGUUCCCACCUGCCUUGCUCAGGCAAACUCAGACUCUGCCCUGGUGAGGCCUCACCUCAGGUCUGGGGCAGUUGUGGGUACCACAUCAUCAGAAGGAUCUAAAGCUGUUGGAGAGUGUCCAGAGGAGGGACAUGGGCAUGGGGAAGGCUCUGAGGAGCAGCUGAGGCACUUGGAUUGUUCAGCUGGAGAAGGAGACUGAGGGCAGAGCUCAGCAGGGGCUGCAGCUCCUCCCGAGGGGCAGCUCCGGUCUCUGGGACUGGGACAGGAGCAGGGAACGGCUGGAGCUGGGCCAGGGCAGGCUCAGGCUGCAGAUCAGGGAAAGGUUCUUCCCCCAGAGGUGCUGGCACUGCCCAGGGAGUGGGCACAGCCCCGAGGCUGCCAGGGAUGCCCAGGGUGGGGUUGUUUGGUGUCUGUGCAGGGCAGGAGCUGGAUCCAUGAUCCUUUUGGGUGCCUCAGGACAUUCUGUCGUUCUGUGCAUGCUUCCAGUUCCAGCCAUGGCAGAGGGGGCAGGGACAGUCCCUGUGAGUGUCCCAGAGGUGAGGGCAGAGCAGUGUGGCCAGCCCAGCACUGGGGGCUGUGGGCAUCUGAGCCCCUUCUUCACACAGCCUUGGCCUCUGGAAGAGCCUGGGGUGAGCCCUCCUCCUCCCCAGCUCACACACACUGAGGAGGUGACACCUCCGAGAUCUGAGCCUUUGCAGGUGAGACCAAAGUGCCCAGUAAAUCCUGGAGCUGUCAGAGGUGUGGUCCUGCUCUGCUUCCUCAGCAGGGACCAGUCCUAGCACAGCCCCUGCCCUUCUCUGAACUACCUUGGAACAGACAUUGUCACAGUGAGGGGGGACACAGUGACCUGGCCUGACCUCACACAGCAUUUCAGUGUCAGAAUCACAGAAACCCAGGCUGCUUUGUGUUGGAACAAACCUUAAAACUCAUCCAGUGCCACCCCCUGCUGUGGCCAGGGUCACCUUCCACUAUCCCACCUUGCUCCAAGCCCUGCCCAACCUUGAAAGUUUCUCCCAACCUCUGCUCCCCAGCACUGUUCUGCUUGCAUGGGCUCUCUGGGCUUUGUGGUAGGACCAAACAUCUCCAGGAAGGAGCUGGAGAGGGAAGCAGGGAGCUGCCUGUUCCCUGGGGAGGAUGAGGUCCUUGGAGUCAGCGUGCUGGAGGAGCCUGCUCUGCUCCUGCAGAUAAGUAGGCCAUUUCCUGCACUCCAGGCGCAUUUCUGUCAUGCUUGUAAGCCCUGUAUGGCUUUGAAACAAAUGAAAAUUAAAAGGAUCCACCCCCAGCACUGGGGGAAUUUCAUCUGGAGAAGGAAUGGAAUAAAGACAGCAGCUGAGGGAGCGGCCCUGUGGAG